CAUAUCAAUAAGCGGAGGACUCCGUAGGUGAACCUGCGGAAGGAUCAUUACAAGAAGAACGAGGCCUUCGGGUCUCGAUCCUCAAACCACUGUGUACCGUAUCUCUUGUGUUUGGCGGGCGCGCCUCCCCUCCGCGGGGUGGUCAGCCCGCCGAAGAUGCAGACCGUCCGUCCGAUGAACGUCUGAAACCAAAUCGUUUUUAACGAGAAUUAAAGUACAACUUUCAACAAUGGAUCUCUUGGCUCCGGCAUCGAUGAAGAACGCAGCGAAAUGCGAUAGCUAGUGUGAAUUGCAGAUUUCAGUGAAUCAUCGAGUCUUUGAACGCACAUUGCGCCUCUUGGUAUUCCUCGAGGCAUGCCUAUUCGAGCGUCGUUUCGUCCCUCAAGCGCGAGCUUGGUGUUGGGGACCGCCCCUGAGAUAUGGCGGCGGCCCUUGAAUCCAUCGGCGGUGCCGGUGCGGCCCUGAGCGCAGCAGCGAUGCGGCUCUGAAGGCGGCGCCUGCCCAGCCGGACGACCCCACGAAACUUUCUGAACGUCGACCUCGAAUUAGGUAGGGAUACCCGCUGAACUUAAG
rnacentral:rRNA from 1 species